rnacentral:lncRNA from 1 species
UUCUGGACUCAAAUGUGACUCUUAGACACUUACUAAGCGGUGUGACCCUAGGUAUCACCAGUACCAUGAACUGGAUCAGAGAAACAGAAGUUAACAAAGGCCAAAGAAGAGAAUAACCACGGAUGGUAAUGGAGCUGUCACAGAGAAGAGAGAAGUGGAAAUUCAUGGUUCUCUUGUGAGGCAAAGACAUCUGUGUUAUUGCACCCUAAGCCAAUAGUUUUUAAAACAAAGUCAUAAAACAAGCUACUGUAUAUAACAGGGAUGGAAAAUAUGUGGAGCUUUCCUCCGCCCUUUACAGGUCUCUGAG